UUCACGGUAGGGUUCCCUAUUGUACCUGGUCCAUCCACCAUCUCCUAUGAUAUCUAGUAAGGCUCUCGUUUCAUCCAUUCACUUAAAAACAGAAUUUUCCAUUUUCUUUUAGUCUAGAUUUUUUAAAUCAACUGUAAUCACAUAAACAAACAAAUAUGCAUUAGGGAAUGCAAUCAUAUCUCAGUUUUUUAAUUUAACAGUAGUCACGUAAGGCAACAAUACAUGCAUUCAAACCAUAAAAUCAAUAAAUCAGAUAUUAUCAUACAUUUAAACUGUAAAAUAAAUCAACAGAAAUCAAAAGAGAACAAUUUAUGAUUCUGGCUCCAUUAGUAACCCGUAAUUAAUUAUAGAUAUUUUUCAAGUUUCACGAAAUACCAUAUUAUUUAAAAUUAAACUUCAAUUCCAUAA
rnacentral:lncRNA from 1 species